rnacentral:rRNA from 1 species
UUAGUAGCGGCGAGUGANGCGGCAAAAGCUCAAAUUUGAAAUCUGGCACCUUCGGUGUCCGAGUUGUAAUUUGAAGAUUGUAACCUUGGGGUUGGCUCUUGUCUAUGUUUCUUGGAACAGGACGUCACAGAGGGUGAGAAUCCCGUGCGAUGAGAUGCCCAAUCCUAUGUAAGGUGCUUUCGAAGAGUCGAGUUGUUUGGGAAUGCAGCUCUAAGUGGGUGGUAAAUUCCAUCUAAAGCUAAAUAUUGGCGAGAGACCGAUAGCGAACAAGUACAGUGAUGGAAAGAUGAAAAGAACUUUGAAAAGAGAGUGAAAAAGUACGUGAAAUUGUUGAAAGGGAAGGGUUUGAGAUCAGACUCGAUAUUUUGUGAGCCUUGCCUUCGUGGCGGGGUGACCCGCAGCUUAUCGGGCCAGCAUCGGUUUGGGCGGUAGGAUAAUGGCGUAGGAAUGUGACUUUGCUUCSGNNAAGUGUUAUAGCCUGCGUUGAUGCUGCCUGCCUASACCGAGGACUGC